ACCAGCCUUGAGAUGAGGUUUCUCAUAACAAAAGUUAGUAAGACCCCUUGUAGACGACAAGGUAGAUAGGCCGGGAGUGGAAGUGCCGCAAGGCAUGGAGCGGACCGGUACUAAUCGGUCGAGGGCUUAACUUA
rnacentral:rRNA from 1 species